UACGGAUUGUAAACUUCUUUUAUAAGGGAAUAAAACCUCCCACGUGUGGGAGCUUGUAUGUACCUUAUGAAUAAGCAUCGGCUAACUCCGUGCCAGCAGCCGCGGUAAUACGGAGGAUGCGAGCGUUAUCCGGAUUUAUUGGGUUUAAAGGGAGCGCAGACGGGUCGUUAAGUCAGCUGUGAAAGUUUGGGGCUCAACCUUAAAAUUGCAGUUGAUACUGGCGUCCUUGAGUGCGGUUGAGGUGUGCGGAAUUCGUGGUGUAGCGGUGAAAUGCUUAGAUAUCACGAAGAACUCCGAUUGCGAAGGCAGCACACUAAGCCGUAACUGACGUUCAUGCUCGAAAGUGUGGGUAUCAAACAGGAUUAGAUACCCUGGUAGUCCACACGGUAAACGAUGGAUACUCGCUGUUGGCGAUAUACUGU
rnacentral:rRNA from 1 species